GGGCUUGUACUGGUUUCGACAGGCCAGCUGAAGACGGUGAAGCUAUCCGUGGACUGUGACCACGUUAAAACGCAGACUUAAAUUUAAACGCUGAUAAUAAUAAAUUAGCUUACGCUGCCUAAUUAUGGCGGCUGUUGUGCUUAGGCGUCCUACAACCUAGGUUACAGCAUCAUUCCUUUGUAGGGAACCUUACCGGUAAAGCUUUGAAUCGGUAAGAGAAACAUGAAGCUACUGAUAUUUAGUGGGUGUUAGUUCCCGCUAUUUGGAGGGAAUGGUUUUCGCAAGAGAACAAAAGAACUGACUAUGAUAGUAGAAGAACGUGGGAUUCUGGUUUGGACGCGGGUUCGACUCCCGCCAGGUCCAUUA
rfam:Clostridium sp. CAG:62 genomic scaffold, scf60